AAAUAUAACUUACAUGCCUUGAGUUCAUACAAUUGUAUUCCUCAUGAAUCUAUUUUUAUUCUCAGGUAUGAAGGUGCACGACCUGCAGAAGCCCUUGUUGAGUUUGUGAAUAGUGAAGGAGAUGAGAUGAGCUUUGCAAGACAUUUCUUAUCAUUUUGCCAUUGCAAUAGUUUCUAGAAAAUGCAGAGCCAAGGUUGAUGGCGCAAAAAUUUUCUUGUGGAUUUGAACAAGGUGCUUAAAUGAGCUGACUUUUCUUCAAAUUGGGAAUGGUUUAUGGAUGGUAGUUUUCAUAGUCAUGUCAUAAUGGAAUCCAGUAAUAUGUUAAAAAUAUCAUAGAUUAAUGCUUAGUUCAUAAUUACCAAAAUAUGUAGUUUGUACGAGUGUAGAUUCUAUUUUUUCACAAUCUAUUUUUGGUUCAUAUAUUGUUUCCACUUACUUUUUUUAAGCUGUACAUGAAUACACAUUUUUUUCAUAUAUCAUUGUCGGCUAUUGAGCGAAUUGUUGAAUGUU